rnacentral:tRNA from 1 species
GGGGGUGCGGCUCAGUGGAGAGCGCUGGCCUGUCACGCCGAGGCCCUGGGUUCGAUCCCCAGCACUGCAG